UAUCAUAAACCAUACUUAAACAAUUGGAAGGUUAAAAUCGUCAUUCGGGCUAUUCCAUUUUCAUCGUAGUCUUCGUAUGGCGAACAGCCUGGUCUUUCCGGUCUCUCCCUCUCCAUCGAUCUAACCCAUCCGAGCAGUGGAGGGGCAAUCGAAACUCUCAGCGACCGUCUCUGUCAGUGUCUCUCUCGCUCAUUCAGGCCGCCUAGAGAUGAAAGAUAGCAGAGAUGCUGUCAUGAACGAUAAAUCCUCAAAAUCUUCAUCUGUUAGCCCUCUCCCACUCAUUCUUGAUGUGGAUGACUUUAAGGGUGAUUUUUCAUUUGACGCGUUGUUUGGGAACUUGGUGAAUGAGCUUCUGCCGUCUUUCCACGACGAAGAAACUUAUUCAUCAGAAGGGCAUGGCAGUGGCGUCGGUGGAAAUGAUGCUUUGUCGAAUGGACAUUUACGAGGGGAUGCCGCGAAAUCGGCUGCCCCUUUGUUUCCAGAAGUGGAUAAGCUCUUGGCCCUAUUCAAGGAUUCGUAUAAGGAGUUGGUUGAUCUUCGAAAGCAGGUUGAUGGCAGACUCUUCAAUCUCAAGAAGGAGGUCUCUGUCCAAGAUUCUAAGCACCGCAAGACACUCGCUGAGCUGGAAAAAGGUGUAGAUGGAUUGUUUGAUAGCUUUGCAAGAUUGGAUUCACGUAUUUCAAGUGUUGGACAGACUGCCGCAAAGAUUGGAGAUCAUUUGCAGAGUGCAGAUGCUCAGCGAGAAACUGCUAGUCAAACAAUAGAGCUUAUAAAGUACUUGAUGGAGUUCAAUAGCAGCCCAGGAGACCUAAUGGAACUUUCACCACUAUUUUCUGAUGACAGCCGUGUUGCGGAGGCUGCUUCAAUUGCACAGAAAUUGCGGUCAUUUGCUGAGGAAGAUAUCGGAAGACAAGGAAUAGGUGCACCGCCAGUUAUGGGGAACGCUGCUGCUAGCAGAGGAUUGGAAGUUGCGGUUGCUAAUCUGCAGGAUUAUUGUAAUGAACUGGAGAACAGAUUGCUUGCUCGUUUUGAUGCAGCAUCACAGAGGAGAGAAUUGUCUUCAAUGGCAGAAUGUGCUAAAAUUUUAUCUCAGUUUAACAGGGGUACAAGUGCCAUGCAACAUUAUGUAGCAACACGUCCUAUGUUUAUUGACGUGGAAGUCAUGAAUGCAGACACGAGGUUGGUUCUUGGGGACCAGGGUGCACAAGCUAGUCCUAGCAAUGUCGCUCGUGGGCUUUCUUCGCUGUACAAAGAAAUUACAGAUACCGUGCGUAAAGAAGCAGCAACAAUUAUGGCCGUAUUCCCUUCUCCUAAUGAAGUUAUGUCAAUUUUAGUACAGCGAGUUUUGGAGCAGCGAGUAACAGCUCUCCUGGACAAAUUAUUAGUGAAGCCAUCUCUUGUGAAUCUACCUCCUAUGGAAGAGGGUGGACUUCUAUUAUAUCUUAGAAUGCUGGCAGUGGCAUAUGAGAAGACACAAGAACUUGCUAGAGACCUACGAGCUGUGGGAUGUGGUGACUUAGAUGUUGAGGGCCUCACAGAGUCUCUGUUUUCUGCUCACAAGGAUGAAUAUCCUGAACAAGAGCAGGCCUCUCUUAGACAACUAUAUCACGCAAAGAUGGAAGAAUUGCGUGCUGAAAGCCAGCAGAUCUCUGAGUCAACUGGGACAAUUGGGCGCUCAAAAGGAGCUUCGGUAGCAUCUUCUCACCAGCAAAUAUCUGUCACUGUUGUCACAGAGUUUGUGCGCUGGAAUGAGGAAGCAAUUUCCAGAUGUACUUUAUUUUCAUCUCAGCCUGCUACCCUUGCAACCAAUGUUAGAGCGGUUUUCACUUGCCUACUAGACCAAGUUAGUCAAUAUAUAACGGAAGGGCUCGAACGGGCUAGAGAAGGCCUGACUGAUGCUGCUAAUUUGAGGGAAAGGUUUAUGAUUGGCACAAGUGUUAGUAGAAGGGUGGCUGCUGCAGCUGCAUCUGCUGCAGAAGCUGCUGCUACUGCUGGUGAAAGCAGUUUCAGAUCCUUCAUGGUUGCUGUACAACGUUGUGGUAGUAGUGUGGCUAUAGUUCAACAAUAUUUUGCCAAUUCUAUUUCUCGGCUUUUACUGCCCGUUGAUGGUGCACAUGCUGCUUCAUGUGAAGAAAUGGCAACUGCUAUGUCCAGUGCAGAGACUGCUGCUUAUAAAGGGCUUCAACAAUGCAUCGAAACUGUGAUGGCUGAGGUAGAACGAUUGCUUUCAGCUGAACAAAAGUCAACGGAUUAUCGGUCACCUGAUGAUGGAAUUGCUCCGGAUCAUCGACCUACAAAUGCCUGCACAAGAGUGGUGGCAUAUCUUUCCCGUGUGCUUGAGUCUGCAUUCACUGCACUGGAAGGUCUUAACAAACAAGCGUUCCUGAGUGAACUGGGGAACCGGUUGCAUAAGGGGUUGCUUAAUCAUUGGCAGAAGUUCACUUUCAAUCCCAGUGGAGGAUUGCGGCUGAAGCGUGACAUAACUGAGUAUGGAGAAUUUGUGCGAAGUUUCAAUGCUCCUUCCGUUGAUGAAAAAUUUGAAUUGUUGGGCAUCAUGGCCAAUGUCUUCAUUGUUGCUCCUGAAAGCCUCUCAACUCUGUUCGAGGGUACUCCAAGUAUACGGAAAGAUUCCCAAAGGUUUAUCCAGCUUAGAGAAGACUACAAGAGUGCAAAACUUGCUGCCAGACUUAGCUCCUUGUGGCCAAGCUCUAGUUGAUACGGAAGUGGCCUGCUGAUUUAGAUGUGACCUUCAAAAUUUCUUGAAUAGUUCACAUCAAGCUGAUACUAAGCUGAGGGAACUGACUCCUCAAAGUUGCAUUUAUUUGGUGGCAGCAAGACCAACUUCCUGACCCAAUUGAAGAUUGUAUUAAUGACAAGGCUGAUGAAAAUUGGUUAAAAUAGAGUUUCUUUUUUCUCUUUCUUUGGGGUGUAUAUUUUUGAAGUAUGGAUAGGAAGACCCAAUAGCUUUGUUUUCUUUAAGGCUUUAAGUUAUAUGCUAGGUUAAAUCUGAGUGGGGUUUUUUUUUUUUUUUUUUUUUUUUUUUUUUUUUUGUGACAGUUCAGAAAGAGGAAUUUUCAUCCCAGGUGUGUUCUCUUGUAAAUGAUCCGUGAGCAUGGAAAAUGCCACUGAAGUUGUUCUUGUCGCCCAUACUUCAAAAACAAGCGAUGUAGUGCAUACUUGUGUGGAACAUCUCCUCUGCAAAUGCACUUGUCGAUCUGCAAGAAUUAAGAAAGAGAGGAAGAUUUGCUGCACAAAGUAAUCAUUCGUCGGUUUAUCAGUUUCUUUAUUUUCAGCUACGGUUAGAAGGGGACAUUGGUGCU